rnacentral:rRNA from 1 species
GACGAACGCUGGCGGCGUGCCUAAUACAUGCAAGUUGAGCGCUGAAGGUUGGUACUUGUACCAACUGGAUGAGCAGCGAACGGGUGAGUAACGCGUGGGGAAUCUGCCUUUGAGCGGGGGACAACAUUUGGAAACGAAUGCUAAUACCGCAUAAAAACUUUAAACACAAGUUUUAAGUUUGAAAGAUGCAAUUGCAUCACUCAAAGAUGAUCCCGCGUUGUAUUAGCUAGUUGGUGAGGUAAAGGCUCACCAAGGCGAUGAUACAUAGCCGACCUGAGAGGGUGUUCGGCCACAUUGGGACUGUGACACGGCCCAAACGCCUCCGGGAGGCAGCCGUAGGGAAUCUUCGGCAAUGGGCGGAAGUCUGACCGAGCAACGCCGCGUGAGUGAAGAAGGUUUUCGGAUCGUAAAACUCUGUUGGUAGAGAAGAACGUUGGUGAGAGUGGAAAGCUCAUCAAGUGACGGUAACUACCCAGAAAGGGACGGCUAACUACGUG